rnacentral:misc_RNA from 1 species
GUAGGUGAACCUGCGGAAGGAUCAUUACCGAGUUAGGGUUCGUCCAACGAGCCCGACCUCCCAACCCUUUGUCUAUUUUACCUUGUCGUUGCUUCGGCGGACCGGUCGCGACCAAUUGGUCGUGGCCGCCGGGGUCUUUCCCCUGAGAGCGUUCGCCGAUGGCCCAACCACAAACUCUUGUAUCAAACCAUGUCGUCUGAAUUACUUGAUUAAAAUCAAAAAACAAAACUUUCAACAACGGAUCUCUUGGUUCUG